CAAAUCCCCAAACCAAUAGCUGGACAAUGAAAAGAAUAAACCUCCUGUGGAAAGUAAUACCAGCUUUCAAGUGUCAGCUUCUUGCUUUUCUAGGUGAGAAAAUCAUGAUGUGACAUAAAGGUAUUAAUGACAAUGAGGCCACACUAUAAUUCAAGUAUUUUAUGGUUCCCAAAUAUUCUCUGUAAGAGAUGUAGUAUUCUGAAGGAAAUAUAUAUAUAUAUUUUUCUGGAAACACAAAAUAAUAUUGAGAGAAAAGCAGAAAAUAGGUUUUGAAAAGAAUAAUACCUAAAAGUUUUGCUAAGUUUAUGAUUAAUAAGACCUUAAGUUUCGUAGAAAAUGAAACUAAACCAGAAGUAAGAUCCCAAGUUCAAAUCCACACUUAGAUUUUAAUAUUCAUUCUUAUAGGCACAAUAUUAAAAAUAACGGAGUGGGUUGCCAUUUCCUUCUCCAUGGGAUCUUCCCAGCUCAAGGAUUGAACCAAAGUCCCCUACAUGAGAGGUGGAUUCUCUACCACUGAGCCACCAGGGAAGCCCAUUGCUAUAAUUAAUGGACUUUAUUUUUGCUAAAGAAGUAAAGUAAAAAAACUGUGUGACAUGUUCUCACAGUCUUUCUCCCUUUGGUUAACAGCAAUCUCUUCCCUUUCUAACCUCCUACAGGUCAUACCACUCAUCUGGACCAUCAUAUACUAUUAUAUACUGGGCUCUAGAUUAUGUCAUUUUAUUCAACGUUACUGGGAGAAGGUGAUGGCACAAGCUUAUUAUUUGCAAAAUCAUAAGUAGUCCUUUCUUUAAAGAUCUUAUUUUUGAGCUCUGGCAUUUUCAGUAGGUGAUGUAUUUAUACUAGUGUCGUAUGGUGAAUAACUGGUAUUUUUUGAAAGCCUUCUCACAAAAGUAAAGGUGGAAACUAGAUUUAUAUGACCAAAAAGAAUUGUCAUCCCAGUACUAUUUCUCCUGGCAGGAUUCAUUUUCUCAUUUCAGCCUGAGGUGAACAAGAGUAUUAUCAAUUUAACUCUUGGAGUUCAGGGGGUUAUGGGAUCAGUAUAAUAUGGAGUCUCAGUUGUAUACUAGGUCAGUGGGCAGGAGGAUAACGCUACAGAGCAGGACAAUAGAAAGAGUACUAUACUGAGUCUGAAGAGCUAAACCUGAUUAGAAGUCCUGGCACUGUUGACAGCUUUCUGUGUGACCUUCAGUUAAUAGCUGUAUAACAUCCUAUUCCAACGAGAGUACAUUUUGAUUUUUCAAAAAACAUGUUUUGCAUUCUUAUUUCUUACUUCAGUCUUAAAUCUGCUAUUUUUCUUUCAUCCUGGCACAUUAUAUUGCUACCUAAGAGUUUCUUGUCCUGAAAUGAAAAUAUCCAGUUCAAAAAAAAAAAAAAAGUUGAAAUAGGCUUUUGUUUUGUAAAGAGUUGUAGCGCAUCAGAGAUGUAUAGUGACCAUGUAAUAAAUGGUCUUGGAUAUUAGACAGUAAACUAGAUGAAAGUGGUUCUAUUCGUUGGAUGCUAUUUAUCCACCUUUUC
rnacentral:lncRNA from 1 species